GUCCUAAGGUUAGUUUAAUGCUAGCCUGUUCCGGUAGUAAUAUCGGAAGUAAUAUUUAACUAUAUGCGGGGAACUCCCCAAAAAAUGUUUGAUACUAGUCUAUUCAUUUGAAUGGGACAGUAAAAAAUCAACAUACAUGAGGACAAUCCGCAGGGAAGGCAUAUUAUGGAUAAUAAUAUGAACCCUCAGAGACUACACGUUGAAUAUCCGAAUUGCAACAGCUUGACUCCUGACUGGAUUGUGGGAUUCGUAGACGGGGAAGGUUGUUUUCACAUAGGGAUAAAUAAGAAUGACGAAGUUAAAUCCGGGUACCAGGUUUUACCCGAAUUGACAGUCGUCCAACACAAACGAGACAUUCAACUUCUUUAUCGAUUACGCACAUUUAUGAAAUGUGGCGUGGUAAGAAGUAAUCAUGGAGACCGUUUCUGUUGGCGUGUCAGAUGUCUUAAAAACCUUGUGGAAAUAAUUCUUCCAUUUUUUGAAAAGCAUCCAUUGAAAUCAAAAAAAAAUAUUGAAUUUCACAGAUUUGCAAAGGUGGUGCGAAUGAUGGAGAAAGAUAAACACCUUACCCAGGAAGGAUUCCAGAAGAUUAUUAAAAUUGCGGAAGAGAUGAACAGGCAAGAGCAAAGAGAAAUUCGGAUAAAGAUAUAGUCCACACUUCGAUGAAAAUCGAGG
rnacentral:ncRNA from 1 species